AGAGUUUGAUCCUGGCUCAGGUUACUGCUAUCNAGGUUCGACUAAGCCAUGCGAGUCGAAUGUAGCAAUACAUGGCGUACUGCUCAGUAACACGUGGACAACCUACCCUCAGGUCGGGGAUAAACCCGGGAAACUGGGUAUAAUACCCGAUAGAUCUCGGCUGCUGGAAUGCAUCGAGCUCUAAAGCUCCGGCGCCUGAGGAUGGGUCUGCGGCCUAUCAGGUAGUAGUGGGUGUAGCGUACCUACUAGCCUACGACGGGUACAGGUUGUGAGAGCAAGAGCCCGGAGAUGGAUUCUGAGACACGAAUCCAGGCCCUACGGGGUGCAGCAGGCGCGAAAACUUUACAAUGCCGGCAACGGCGAUAAGGGGACCUCGAGUGCCAGGUUACAAAUCUGGCUGUCGUGAUGCCUAAAAAGCAUUGCAUAGCAAGGGCCGGGCAAGACCGGUGCCAGCCGCCGCGGUAACACCGGCGGCUCGAGUGGUAACCGUUAUUAUUGGGUCUAAAGGGUCUGUAGCCGGCCGGAUAAGUCUCUUGGGAAAUCCAGCAGCUUAACUGUUGGGCUUUCAGGAGAUACUGUCUGGCUCGAGGCCGGGAGAGGUGAGAGGUACUUCAGGGGUAGGGGUGAAAUCUUGUAAUCCUUGAAGGACCACCAGUGGCGAAGGCGUCUCACCAGAACGGACCUGACGGCAAGGGACGAAAGCUAGGGGCACGAACCGGAUUAGAUACCCGGGUAGUCCUAGCCGUAAACGAUACUCGCUAGGUGUCGGCCACGGUGCGACCGUUGUCGGUGCCGUAGGG
rnacentral:rRNA from 1 species